rnacentral:rRNA from 1 species
UUGAUCGGUACGGGUUGUGGGAGCAAGAGCCCGGAGAUGGAUUCUGAGACACGAAUCCAGGCCCUACGGGGCGCAGCAGGCGCGAAAACUUUACAAUGCGAGAAAUCGUGAUAAGGGAACCCCGAGUGCCCGUAAAUUCGGGCUGUCCGCCAGUGCAAAAAACUGGUGAAGAAAGAGCCGGGCAAGACCGGUGCCAGCCGCCGCGGUAAUACCGGCGGCUCGAGUGGUGGCCACUAUUACUGGGCUUAAAGCGUCCGUAGCUUGGUUGUUAAGUCUCCUGGGAAAUCCAUCGGCUCAACCGAUGGGCGUUCAGGAAAUACUGGCAACCUAGGGACCGGGAGAGGUGAGAGGUACUCCAGGGGUAGGAGUGAAAUCCUGUAAUCCUUGGGGGACCACCUGUGGCGAAGGCGUCUCACUAGAACGGCUCCGACAGUGAGGGACGAAAGCUGGGGGAGCAAACCGGAUUAGAUACCCGGGUAGUCCCAGCUGUAACGAUGCGCGU